AUUGUGAAGAAGACAGCCUGAGAUGGCUGGAUGAGGAGAGAGAUGAACUGAAGCAAGAUGAUGAUGAAGUCUAUUAUAGUAGACAGAUGAACUGUGUUUCUGAUCUGAUAAUAACACAUCAGAUUAACCACAGCAGAAGAUACACCUGCCAGUUUGUUAUAAACAAUGAAGUGAAGAUUUCUGCUGACUACACACUUGUGUCUACAGCUCCAGUUGAUUUAACGUCUGAUUCGACUCCAAACAAGAUCAUCUUCAUCCUCAACAUUGCAAAGAUUUGCCUGCUGAUCAUCCUGGUUGUUAUUGUUACUACUGUUCAGAUUAAAUACAGGAGGAGGACUGGAGCAGCAGAAGAUGCUCAAGAUCAAGAUUGUGUUCCUGAUGAGCAGGACAGCAGAGUGAUCUAUGAUAAUGUAGAGAAUCACCAAGGCCCUGCCCAGCACCACGGUAAGUGACUCAUAUACGUCCCAGCAUUCAAGGAUCUGUAACCUACGCA
rnacentral:lncRNA from 1 species